GUUGAGGAACAUCUAGAUGGAAUCAGAAGUGUUGGUGAAAGUCUCAAUGGAAUCAACAUGGUUCCACUGACUAAACAUCCCAGCUGAGAUCACCUUGUGGAUUAUAUGCAGAUUUUAUUCAAGGUCGUUUUCUCAUCCACCCUGUGAUCAGAGUUCGUUUAAUCUGUUUGAGAAGAGCGCUAAUUUUUUGUUGAAGGGCAUUUGAUCUAUUACUGAAUUGUAUUAUCAUACUAUAUAGGGAC
rnacentral:misc_RNA from 1 species